UAAGCAGUCCAAAGCCUGUGAUAGAUGGAGAAAAAGUGAUAUUAAGCUGUUCAACUGAAUGCACUCUGGAUACCAAACAUACUUACAUCUGGUAUAAGAAUGGACAACAGGUAACAGAUGGAUUGACAUUAUUAAACAAGCUGUACCUGGACUCAAUCAACAGUGAGGAGCUACAAGAGUAUUCCUGUACUGUAAGAGGUAACACAACAUCUCAUCAUACAUCUGAUGAAAUUAUAUAAGAGAGAGUUUCUGUCCUUGAUGCUGAUUGGUUUAUUUACAGCUAUGACAUCAUCACUGAGCUACUUUAAUUCUCAUUGUGCAGCACUCAUAGCUGAUCAUUAAUAUUGUGUCAGUUAUAGGAAACACUUUAGUGUAACAUGACUGCAGGAGGCGCAAUAUUAUGCAGUGCCUGAAAAUAUUCCCCUUAAGCCCUUUUCACACACAUUCCGAAAAAUACUCGGAAAAUGCAUCCUGGAAUUUUUUAAAGGAGAGCGUGAAUGCUGGUGAAUGAUUUCAGCUUCAGAGUGGAUAUUUGACAAGCUCCCUGAUCUCUGCUUCAUUAGAAAAUCACAACUUUUAAUUUUCGCGUAACUUCCGGUAAACUCUGUUUACAAAGUUCUUUAAACGUAGUUUAUUUAUAUAACAAGCAAAAAACCAACACAUGGAUACCUAACAAUCCAAAACAUUUGUUAUUUUCGACGAGGCAUUUGUUAAAGAGAUCAGUUUAGCAACUAGUCAGACCAUUAAAAAAAUGAAACCGGAAGUAAGGUUCGGAUCUAGACGUGUGUCACGUGCGUCCGAUGAAACCGUAUAUACACCUCUAAAGAUAAUGACCAGGUAAUGUUUCACAAUUUCAUACAAAUAUUAGGCUACUGCAUAGUCUACUAAACUACAGAUGAUGGUAAUAGGAUAAUAAGAAGUUUUUUCCAAGAGUAGGCCUAUAACAAUAAAGUAGCCUACCGCGUUUGCUGACUUAUAACGUUUUUUACAUGAUUGCAGCUAAAUCACAAGUAAACAGUCUAUAGUCUAUGUCUACUGUUUAAUUUCAUUUGUGUUUUUUUAUUGUAAUGUUAACAUUACAAAAUGCUAUGACAAAGUUAAUUGUGUACGUUGCAUUAUUUCAUAACAUUGGCUGUUAUAAUGUCACUAUACAUGAUUAUUGCUAUUUAUCAUACACUCUUAAGAAAAAUGAUUCUUCAAAGGUUCUGAAAUGAUGGUAAAGGUUCUAUAUAGAACCAUAGCUUACUGAAGAACCCUUUUUUCCCGAAAUGGUUCUUUGUCUUGACAAAAAGGGUUCUUCAGUUCCCUCCUUUUUUGAUUUUAAAUUUAGUCAGUUAUUUUCAAGCUGCCUCCUGAUUAUUUUCACCUGUAAAAGCCCUGAAUCAUCAGUCUUGCUGAAUCGCCUGCAGACUAACAACACAAACAGGUAAGAGAGGAAAAUAAUCAUCAUUUACUGUUAAAAACAUUAUGAAAAUUGAAGCUUUGUGUGUUCUUAUUGUAAUUUAUUUAUUUUAUAGCAGGUAAACUUUAUACUGUAAGCUUCAUUCCCUUUAUAACAGAGAUUUCAUAUGUGAGGUAAUCUUACUGGGAGUGAAGGCAGUGCUUAUGACCACUUGAUAUGAGAGACACAUCCUGUUUUUAAAGGUGGAUCAUGAGUGAAGCUCUGCAGGUCGGCCAUUGACUUGAUAACAGUGGUUUAUUUUUAUUCAAUUUAUGAAUAAAUCUCUCGCCAACCAUUCACCUAUUUACUGACAAAACGGAUCCAAGUCUUGUUCAGCCUGAUGCUCAACCUUGUAUGAUGAUGACCACAGCCAGGUGAUGGAGAUCUGUGUUAAUCACAGCCUGCGUCUCAAGAUCAACAUGACAAUAGCGGCCAUCUUUUAUCUUACUCUUAUCUGACUAAACAUUGGAUGGAGUAUGUACUGUACAAUGACCCAGCAAACAAAAUAAUAUGGACUUUUUUGGCGAGAUUCUAACAUUGACACAUUAAUUUUUAUAGUUAGUAAUGUAUUAUUAACAUCCUAUUCAUUUGUAUUCUAUGCCAUCUAUCUGUUUGUGCUAAAGUGUUUACAUCUGAAUGUAAUGUCAUAAUAUGUUAAUAUUCAGUAUUUAUUAUCAUUUGCAUGUUUUGAUGUUGCAUUUGUCAUGAUUUUAUUAAUUUCAUGUUAUUGUUGUCUAUUUAGAAUGAUUGUCUUUGCCAAUGAUUCUGAUUUUAAUGCACAUAUUUAUUAUUGUAUAUCUCAUGUAAUGAAAACGUGAAAAUAAAAGUAUUUUUCUGAUGUCUUGCGGUUCUGUUUUUAAACUGUUAAACCGUGUAAAGUGCUAUAAAUAAAAAACAAAAAUAUAAACAAAAUAACCCUCCUGACUGCUAAUAAAUGAAAAGGGUUUUUUAUAGCACCACUGAGGUUCUAUGUAGCACUUUUCAAGGCAAGGUUCUAUAUAGAACCAUCUAAAAAAGGGUUCUAUAUAGUACCAAAGAGGGUGCUGCUAUUGUUACAAGCUGAAGAACCCUUAUUUGGUACUAUAUAGAACCAUUUUUCUUAAGAGUGUAAUAGUUUGCAAAUUGUGCAUGUUUACACUAUUUAUUUUUACUGUUGAUCACCAUGUGACACCAUUAAUCUUGCCACAUGGUGAUCAACAGGAAAAAUGACCAAUUUUACCUUUUUGCAAAA